rnacentral:rRNA from 1 species
AACCUUGUCAUUAGUUGCCAGCAGUUCGGACUUGGGCACUCUAGUGAGACUGCCGGGGAUAACUCGGAGGAAGGUGGGGAGUGACGUCAAAUCAUCAUGCCCCUUAUGUUCUGGGCUACACACGUGCUACAAUGGCUGGUACAAAGAGAAGCAAGACGGUGACGUGGAGCAAAUACUCAAAAAACCAGUCCCAGUUCGGAUUGUAGGCUGCAACUCGCCUACAUGAAGUUGGAGUUGCUAGUAAUCGCGAAUCAGAAUGUCGCGGUGAAUGCGUUCCCGGGUCUU